rnacentral:rRNA from 1 species
AAUUUUGGACAAUGGGGGAAACCCUGAUCCAGCCAUCCCGCGUGUAUGAUGAAGGCCUUCGGGUUGUAAAGUACUCUUGGCAGAGAGGAAAAAGUAUCUCCUAAUACGAGAUACUGCUGACGGCGUCUGCAGAAGAAGAACCGGCUAACAACGUGCCAGCAGCCGCGGUAAUACAUAGGGUGGAAGCGUUAAUCGGAAUUACUGGGGGUAAAGCGUGUGUAGGCGGUUCUGAAAGAAAGAUGUGAAAACCCAGGGAUCAACCUUGGAACUGCAUUUUUAACUGCCGAGCUAGAGUAUGUCAGAGGGGGGUAGAAUUCCACGUGUAGCAGUGAAAUGCGUAGAUAUGUGGAGGAAUACCGAUGGCGAAGGCAGCCCCCUGGGAUAAUACUGACGCUCAGACACGAAAGCGUGGGGAGCAAACA